CAUCUGUGAUUAUCCUAUUUCGAAUCUGAAUUUCUACUAGAAAAAAAAAACUUGUAUGAUUCUGGCUUCUGAGAU